rnacentral:rRNA from 1 species
CCUACGGGAGGCAGCAGUGGGGGAUAUUGCACAAUGGGGGAAACCCUGAUGCAGCGACGCCGCGUGGGCGAAGAAGUAUUUCGGUAUGUAAAGCCCUAUCAGCAGGGAAGAAGAAAUGACGGUACCUGAGUAAGAAGCACCGGCUAAAUACGUGCCAGCAGCCGCGGUAAUACGUAGGGUGCAAGCGUUAUCCGGAUUCAGUGGGUGGAAAGGGAGCGGAGGCGGCACGGCAAGCCUGAUGUGAAAGCCCGCGGCCCAACCGCGGGACUGCAUUGGGAACUACCGGGCUGGAGUGCCGGAGAGGUAGGCGGAAUUCCUAGUGUAGCGGUGAAAUGCGUAGAUAUUAGGAGGAACACCAGUGGCGAAGGCGGCCUACUGGACGGUGACUGACGCUGAGGCUCGAAAGCGUGGGGAGCAAACAGGAUUAGAUACCCUAGUAGUC